GACGUAGGGCGCGAGCGUUGUCCGGAUUUAUUGGGCGUAAAGAGCUCGUAGGCGGCUUGUCGCGUCGAAUGUGAAAACCCGGGGCUCAACCCCGGGCCUGCAUUCGAUACGGGCAGACUAGAGUUCGGUAGGGGAGUCUGGAAUUCCUGGUGUAGCGGUGAAAUGCGCAGAUAUCAGGAGGAACACCGGUGGCGAAGGCGGGACUCUGGGCCGAUACUGACGCUGAGGAGCGAAAGCGUGGGGAGCAAACAGG
rnacentral:rRNA from 1 species